AAAAGAGUGAGGAAGAUGAAGAAGAUUAAAGCAGCUGCUGCUGACAAAAGCAGUUUUCCCAGUAAUCACAGAAUUGGAAGGAUUGGAAGGGAUCCCUAGAGACCUUUGAGUCCAACCCCCCUGCAAAGCAGGCCCCCUACAGCAGGCUACGCAAAUGCUGAAAGCCUGCAAAAUGUGAAAAUCAUUCCUGUUUCUGUGAUAAAUCUGGCACCUGAGAACACCUGCAGUACCUCAUGGAAAGCUUCCUCAUCAUCGGGCCAAGAACAUCUUAACUGUGCUGUAGAUUUAUGGAUUCAGAAGCUGGAGGCCUGGACAGUUCAAAAUAAGGCAAGAGGAAUGAGAGAGGUCUGGGAGAACGGAAUCACGUACAGGUCACACUACAAAUGUUUCUUUGGUCUUCUGUCAGAGGAUGUGGCCCGCAUCCAUUUUAUAAUAGUGCCUUCAGUAAUACCAAGUAUAUUAGGCUAGAAUUCUAGGAGCCAAGCCAGCUUGCCAAGAAACUUGAAAGCCUAGGAAUUAUAUCAAGCUAUGGAUACAAAUCUCUAGGCAAAUAUUAGAAUGACUGAAAAUAAAACACAUAAAGGCACAUUGUGCCUUUCUUCAGGAGCCAGAUAGUAAGAGGAAGAUGUAAAAAGGCAUCCACUACCAAAUGCCAAUACAAGCAGCUCCCAGCAACACCUUUUUGAAUAAAGCCAGCACAUCACUUCCACCAAAAUGUAUGUAGGAUGCUUGGAAAGUAAUACCUUCUGUUGAUUUCCAUGGAAACUACAACAAAGAGCACAAUAACACUAUUUCAUAGAGCAAGUUCCCAGCCACAGAACACUACUUUUCUAACAUAG
ensembl:lncRNA